GACGUAGGGCGCGAGCGUUGUCCGGAUUUAUUGGGCGUAAAGAGCUCGUAGGCGGUUUGUCGCGUCGGCUGUGAAAACCCGGGGCUCAACCCCGGGCCUGCAGUCGAUACGGGCAGGCUAGAGUCCGGCAGGGGAGACUGGAAUUCCUGGUGUAGCGGUGAAAUGCGCAGAUAUCAGAGGAACACCGGUGGCGAAGGCGGGUCUCUGGGCCGGAACUGACGCUGAGGAGCGAAAGCGUGGGGAGCGAACAGG
rnacentral:rRNA from 1 species